ACUUUAUUGGAUCCCAAUCGAAUUACUUUAGUAACUUGAUAGGGCCCUUCCCAGUUCGGGGCUAGCUUGCCCUGCUCGGUAGGUUUAGAUACCUCAGUUCGACACAGAACAAGGUCACGACUCCUGAAAGAUUUUGGCUUCAUCCAAGAAUUGUAGUAGCAAGAUACACAUUGCUGAUAAGAGGCCUUCCUAAUCCUCACCC
rnacentral:lncRNA from 1 species